rnacentral:pre_miRNA from 1 species
GAUUUCAAAUGAAAAAGUCAUCAACAACAAAGUUGUAUAACUCAUCAAAAUAUAUAACUUUUAUUUUGGUCAUUUCUUCAUCUGAUAAAGUGAUAGUAACAUUGUUCACAAAAUUUACAUAUUUCCCUUAUAGCUUAUAAACUAUAUAUAAGAGAUAUGUACAUUUUGUGAAUAAUGUUACAAAUCACAUUGUCGAAGGAAGAAAUAAACCAAAUAAAAGUUAUAGAUCUUGAUGAGUUAUGCCACUUUGUUAUUGAUGAAUUUUUCAGUUGAAAUC